UGUUUUUCAUUUGGACAAAAAUCGUGUUGCAUCUAAUUUUCUCGCCUUCGUUGCUUCGCCGAUUUCGCUCGGAUUUCCGGCCAAAUCAGAGCCAAAUCGAUCUCUGCUUCACCUAGAUUUGUGUUGUUUGAGUUGUGAUUGUCUCGGAGGUUUGAUCUUGCAAGUUAUCAUCGUCCUCAAUUGGCAUCUGAGUGAAAAGAAGAAGAAAGGAGCUAUGACAAUGUUCAAAUCUAUCUCGAUGGCUGUGUUGCUUGUUACACUUGUUGCAUCCAUUUCUAUGGUUUCUUCUACUGAUUCUUCCCCAUAAGCUGAAUUUGUUAAGAAGACCAUCUCUUCCCACAAAAUCGUCAUCUUCUCCAAAUCCUACUGCCCGUAUUGCAGGAACGCGAAAUCUGUGUUCAGAAAGCUGGAUCAAGUUCCGUAUGUUGUGGAGCUCGAUGAAAGAGGUCUGUUUUAAGAUUAUAGUGAAUCAUUUUUUCAUCAUCCAAGUAUGUUUUUUAAUGAGACCUUUAGUCUCAUGACAUUUUUGUUACUCUAAACUUUGAUGGAUUAUUAUAUAUAAGAUAGUAGUAUUUUAUUGGUUA